rnacentral:RNase_P_RNA from 1 species
CGCUGGACGGCCGCGUGCCGCGCCUACCCGGGCAACCGGGAUGCGCGGUCCGAGGAAAGUCCGGGCUCCACAGGGCAGGGUGGUCGCCAAAUGCGACCGUCUCUCGUCGCGGGGGGAUAGGGACAGUACAACAGAGAGCAGACCGCCGGCGCGCCGCAAGGCCUGCCGGUAAGGGUGAAACGGCGGGGUAAGAGCCCACCGCGCGACCCGCGAGGGAAGCGGCACGGCAAACCCCACCCGGAGCAAGCCGAUAGCCUGGCGAGGUGCUGCCCGCACCGUCAUCAGCCAGGCGCAAGGCGCUGGAUGGCCGGCGGCAACGCCGGUCGCGAGAGAAAUGGCCGUCUGAAAAACAGAACCCGGCUUACAGGCGCCAC